GGGGAGACCAAGCGAAGGAACAUACUGCUUUAAAGUUUUUAAAUGUUACAACUGUUGCUACAGCGAAAUAGGAAGAGAGGCACACAUUAUGUCUGUUGCCAAACAACUCUGGGCCCAGAGAUGCUGUGUGGGAACGGCUGGGCAGUUCUUAUUACAAAACAGGUUCAGAGUGCUUAUGAAGGAGGUCUUAAAGGAAGCCAGGCUCCUGUGGAUACUAAGCAGUUGUUCUGCCAUGGGCCUGCAUCUCCAGCAGUUGUUCUGCCAUGGGCCUGCAUCUCCAGCAAGUGCUGACGUCAUUAAAAUAUUCACCACAAUCGCACUGCUUCGUGUAACCUAACAGUGAGCUUUGAACUUCUCUGAAACUUGGAAAGUAAAAGGGUACCAUAACACAUUCCCUACAGUAAUUAGGGCUUCCCUUAACAAAGCCAAGGCUGGCACCUGGGUAGAUGUUCUUUGUUGAUUACGAAGUCUUAAUGUGGACUAGCUUCAGAAGCUUCUCAGAGCCAAACCGUCAUCUCUUUGCCUUUCUGCUACGAAGACCACACUCCCAUCCAGGCCACCCACCAGGUUCCAUUUGGUGGAACCCCCACCAAGGACACCUUUAGCUGUUGAUUGCUUUAUAGAAUAACCGGGCUGGAUGACAGCCCUGAGCAGUUUGCCAGUGUGGUCUAGUUUUCUAGGUUUCCCUGGUGAGUCAACAGGAAUGUAUCUACUUGUCUCUGGGAAUUGCAGUUCUACAUCAUCACCUAAAGUCUUCCAGAUUUUCCUGAAGAGAGGCAAAUCUGCAACGAGACGAGAAAUCAGUGAUAGGAAGAAAACUGUAAAGGUGUAAAACACAACUGAAAGCUGACUGUUGAAUUAACAUCGUGGUGAACAAGAUCUUGGAUGUGAGUCAUGGAAAUGAACCUGAACUGAGAGUUGCUUUCCAAAGACUAUCUCACCACUGGGAUUCAGGCUGAACAAAGGAGUUAGAUUCAAAACAGGGAUUCUCUGUAUAGCCCUGCUGUCCUGGAACUCAUGCUGCAGAUGAGGCUGACCCUUGAAGUGAGAGAGCUGCUUGCCCCUGCCUUCUUACUGCUGAGAUUAAAGGUCUGUGUAUCAUUUUUGAGAUAAACUCAGUGUAAACUAUAAGGCAAAGACAUGUUCGAAUUUAAUCUACAUAUAACACCCAGCAUGGAGAGAAUCAGAAACCAAGAGCAUGGUGUACUCAGUCUAACCCACAGGUUAUGGGCCAGAGCUUCAUAAUGAAAUAGUGAAAUGAGAAUGUAUGUUUUUUAUCAAGGAGUUCAUUGUCCUUUCUGGUACACUACACCACCCAGUGCCUAAUCUGUCUAAAGUAUGAGUGUCUAUUAAUAA
rnacentral:lncRNA from 1 species